rnacentral:rRNA from 1 species
AUUGAACGCUGGCGGCAUGCUUUACACAUGCCAGUCGAACGGCAGCGCGGGCUUCGGCCUGGCGGCGAGUGGCGAACGGGUGAGUAAUGCAUCGGAACGUGCCCAGUAGUGGGGGAUAGCCCGGCGAAAGCCGGAUUAAUACCGCAUACGACCUGAGGGUGAAAGCGGGGGACCGAAAGGCCUCGCGCUAUUUGCGCGGCCGAUGACGGAUUAGCUAGUUGGUGGGGUAAAGGCUUACCAAGGCGACGAUCCGUAGCUGGUCUGAGAGGACGACCAGCCACACUGGAACUGAGACACGGCCCAGACUCCUACGGGAGGCAGCAGUGGGGAAUUUUGGACAAUGGGGGCAACCCUGAUCCAGCCAUGCCGCGUGCGGGAAGAAGGCCUUCGGGUUGUAAACCGCUUUUGUUCGGGAAGAAAACCUCUGGGCUAAUACCCCGGGGGGAUGACGGUACCGGAAGAAUAAGCACCGGCUAACUACGUG